rnacentral:tRNA from 1 species
GGAGAAAUGGCAGAGCGGUCGAAUGCGGCGGUCUUGAAAACCGUUGUACCGCAAGGUACCGGGGGUUCGAAUCCCUCUUUCUCCGCCA